AACGAACGCUGGCGGCAUGCCUAACACAUGCAAGUCGAACGAGACCUUCGGGUCUAGUGGCGCACGGGUGCGUAACGCGUGGGAAUCUACCCUUGGGUUCGGAAUAACAGUUAGAAAUGACUGCUAAUACCGGAUGACGACGUAAGUCCAAAGAUUUAUCGCCCAAGGAUGAGCCCGCGUAAGAUUAGCUUGUUGGUGGGGUAAUGGCCUACCAAGGCGACGAUCUUUAGCUGGUCUGAGGGGAUGAUCAGCCACACUGGGACUGAGACACGGCCCAGACUCCUACGGGAGGCAGCAGUGGGGAAUAUUGGACAAUGGGCGAAAGCCUGAUCCAGCAAUGCCGCGUGAGUGAUGAAGGCCUUAGGGUUGUAAAGCUCUUUUACCAGGGAUGAUAAUGACAGUACCUGGAGAAUAAGCUCCGGCUAACUCCGUGCCAGCAGCCGCGGUAA
rnacentral:rRNA from 1 species